CCUACGGGAGGCAGCAGUGAGGAAUAUUGGUCAAUGGGCGCGAGCCUGAACCAGCCAAGCCGCGUGAGGGAAGACGGUCCUAUGGAUCGUAAACCUCUUUUGUCGGGGAGCAAAAGAUGCCACGCGUGGCGUUAUGAGUGUACCCGAAGAAAAAGCAUCGGCUAACUCCGUGCCAGCAGCCGCGGUAAUACGGAGGAUGCGAGCGUUAUCCGGAUUUAUUGGGUUUAAAGGGUGCGCAGGCGGAAGAUCAAGUCAGCGGUAAAAUUGAGGGGCUCAACCCCUUCGAGCCGUUGAAACUGGUAUGCUCGAGUGAGCGAGAAGUAUGCGGAAUGCGUGGUGUAGCGGUGAAAUGCAUAGAUAUCACGCAGAACUCCGAUUGCGAAGGCAGCAUACCGGCGCUCAACUGACGCUCAGGCACGAAAGUGUGGGUAUCGAACAGGAUUAGAUACCCUAGUAGUC
rnacentral:rRNA from 1 species